rnacentral:rRNA from 1 species
AUUGAACGCUGGCGGCAGGCCUAACACAUGCAAGUCGAACGAGUGGCGGACGGGUGAGUAAUGUCUGGGAAACUGCCUGAUGGAGGGGGAUAACUACUGGAAACGGUAGCUAAUACCGCAUACCAUCAGAUGUGCCCAGCUGGGAUUAGCGUGUUGGUUGGGUAACGGCUCCCCAAGGCGACGAUCCCUAGCUGGUCUGAGAGGAUGACCGGCCACACUGGAACUGAGACACGGUCCAGACUCCUACGUGAGGCAGCAGUGGGGAAUAUUGCAAAAUGGGCGCAAGCCUGAUGCAGCCAUGCCGCGUGUAUGAAGAAGGCCUUCGGGUUGUAAAGUACUUUCAGCGGGGAGGCGUUACCCGCAGAAGAAGCACCGGCUAACUCCGUGCCAGCCGCCGCGGUAAUAC